AUGUGUAUAUAAAUAUUCCAGAGUCUACAGGUUAUGUAGAUAUUCCAUUCCCAAUUUAACCAACAUCGUCUGGUACAUAAUGUAUUGUUCAUUAUCACUAUGUAAGAAAUAUGAUUAUUUUAGAUCUUGUUUUUUUGCCGACAAGAACUAUGGUUAACUACUUUUCUGUAUGUGAAACCCUUAUAUAUAACCCAAGCUGGAUAAAAACAAAUUCUGGUCAAAGUAAGACAAAACUACAGUUGACUUUUAUUUUACAUAUAUUUUUGUCUAAAUUUCUUUUUUGACGACUAUACAUUUUGGAAUUCAUAUAAAUUCAUAGUUUUCUCUAUUUCGUUUAAGCUUAUAAGUUCUACUCA
rnacentral:lncRNA from 1 species